GCUUAUGCCGAUUCCGCUGCCAUCUGAAUUUUUUGUGAAAUAUCAGCGGCAUGGGCGGGUUCCCAACACUCUUAUGUUUGGUUGGUGAGAAGAUAUUUUUAGGCACUUAAAAGCUCCUUUUUAUACUUCUACAAGCAAUAGAUCCGUUAGACACAAAAAUAUAGCCGUUAGAAUUUCAAACAAACCUGCAAAAAUGUGUCAGUCGCGUCCCAG
rnacentral:lncRNA from 1 species